UUACCAAUUUAGCUAUUGCGGGGGAAGGUUCUUUAAAUAACCUUUACCAACAUGUGCUAUUUGGGAGAACAAUUCAGACCACACUCCACAGUGGGCUAUACCUUAGUAUAGUUCAUUACUAUUUUGUGGCCUACAUU
ensembl:snoRNA